rnacentral:rRNA from 1 species
CCGUGGAUGAACCUUACGGAGGACCCCUUAGGUUUUUGGGGUAUUGGAUUCUCACCAAUGUUUGCGUUACUCAAGCCGACAUUCUCGGAGGAGACUAGGUUAGUCAAAAGUUGGUUAUCGAUUCAAGAACGUAAGGUGCCCCUGCUUUUUCAGGGUAAGAAGGGGUAGAGAAAAUGCCUCGAGCCAAUGUUCGAGCACUAAGCGCUACGGUGAUGAAGUAACCCAUGCCAUACUCCCAGGAAAAGCUCGAACGACCUUUAAACAAAAGGGUACCUGUACCCAAAACUAACAAAGGUGGGCAGGUGGAGAAUAUCUAGGGGCGUGAGAUAACUUUCUCUAUGGAACUCGAUAAAAUAGCCCCGUAACUUCGGGAGAAGGGGCGCCUCCUCACAAAGGGGGUCUUAGUGACUAGGCCCGGGCGACUGCUUACCAAAAACACAAGUCUCGGCAAAGUCAUAAGACCAUGUAUGGGGGCUGACGCUUGCCCAGUGCCGGAAGGUCAAGGAAGUUGGUGACCUGAUGAUAGGGGAGCCGACGACCGAAGCCCCGGUGAACGGCGGCCGUAACUAUAACGAUCCUAAGGCAGCAAAAUUCCUUGUCAGGUAAUUUCUGACCUGCACAAAAGUCAUAACGAUCUAGGCACUGUCUCGGAGAGAGGCUCG